AACUGAGUCAUCAGGGAAAUUAGCUGGGCAUUGUGAGCCAGCUGGCAACCCAAGCUAAUGCAAAACCAGCAGGUCACCUUCAAAGCAGGUGGGCAGCAAGCACAGCAGACAGAGCUGCGUGCACAGCAAACUCAGUGAAAACCCAGCACUCAGGAAAGAAAUGACACACAUAUUGGGAACAGAUAGACAAGAAACCAGUGGAAGGUCAAAGAGGAAGAUUUUAAAGAGAGAACAGGCAUCACCUAGGAGAGCCCCAGGAGGAUCUGGACAGGAGACCCCAAGAUGGACUGCAGUGUCAGAGAUGGGAGACAUUGGGAUGCCUUUCCAGCAGCUGUUGGCUAGAAAUAGUCAGAGUGAAGCAUUGCCUCUGCAGUACAUCUUUCAUCUCACAGUUGACCAUCUGUGGAAAGGAUACGAAGUUUGUAAACAGCUCCAUCUUCAGGCAUCAUUCCCUUGUGCUAAAAAAGAAAAAGGCAACAACAGUAUCUGCCACAAGCUUUCGAAGACAUGUUAGCAUUUUAUCACGUAUAGCAAUUUUUAUCACUUAAACCAAUGUAAUGGUCUUGUUUAACCACUUGCCACAUACAUUAAGUUGAAGGAAAAUCACUGGUAUUGGACCACAGCAUCUAACAAAUGAAUUCUGGUAUGGAUCAGUGGCAGAGUAGAUGUAUGACAAGAUUACAUUUCCGUAUAUCUAGGUUAGACUGAAACUGCAUUGCAACCACUAGAAUGUCUUUCUGUCAGCAGACAGACCCCAAAGUGUUCAAGUUGAAUCAAUUUUUAAAAUGUAUGUGUGGCUAAACAAAAAUGAAUGAAGUGGGAAGGGCAGCACUGAGAAAACCUUAGCAUGUAGGAGAUGAAAUAUCUAAAAUCUUGGAGAGGGUGCAUCUCCCAGAAUCAGGCCUGCAGAAUGGCCUUUUGAAUGCCAUUCAGUGUGAGAAUGAAAGAUGUAAUUUUAUAUACUGACAGCAGUGUAAAUGAGGUGCUCCUGGGAUACUGAGGAGAGUAAUUCUGUUGUCCAAUGGUGAUUUUCUUUCCGGUGGCAGUGCCUGAGUAAAC
ensembl:lncRNA